UCUUUAACUCCCUACUCUCCCAAUCCACUUGUUUUUUUUUUAACUUUCUUUUCUUUCUUUUUUUCCAUCCCUACUGUUUGAUACCGAGACUCAAUCUCCUCAAGCAGAUUAAGAAUUCUAUCUUCUAUCCCGUUAAAAGAAACACCCCACAUCUUACUAACCUUUAGAAAAUUCUUCUGGACCCUGUUAGAAUAAAAAAAAAUUCUACCCAACUCCUCUAUCAUAAACAUUGGUUCAAAAAGGAAGAA
rnacentral:lncRNA from 1 species